CCUACGGGUGGCUGCAGUGAGGAAUAUUGGUCAAUGGGCGCGAGCCUGAACCAGCCAAGUCGCGUGAGGGAAGACGGUCCUAUGGAUUGUAAACUUCUUUUAUCGGGGAGUAAAAGUCGCCACGCGUGGCGUUCUGAGAGUACCCGAUGAAUAAGCAUCGGCUAACUCCGUGCCAGCAGCCGCGGUAAUACGGAGGAUGCGAGCGUUAUCCGGAUUUAUUGGGUUUAAAGGGUGCGCAGGCGGCAGAUAAAGUCAGCGGUAAAAUUGGGAGGCUCAACCUUAUCGAGCCGUUGAAACUGGUUGUCUUGAGUGAGUGUGAGGUAGGCGGAAUGCGUGGUGUAGCGGUGAAAUGCAUAGAUAUCACGCAGAACUCCGAUUGCGAAGGCAGCAUAC
rnacentral:rRNA from 1 species